GUUGUUCGUUUCGUUGUCGCUGC
rnacentral:siRNA from 1 species